UACAGAGGGUGCGAGCGUUGUCCGGAAUCACUGGGCGUAAAGGGCGCGUAGGUGGUGGCUUAAGCGUGCGGUGAAAGUUCGACGCUCAACGUCGAAUCGGCCACUGAUACUGUUGGGCUUGAGCACUGUAGAGGCUAAUGGAAUUCCGGGUGUAGCGGUGGAAUGCGUAGAGAUCCGGAAGAACACCGGUGGCGAAGGCGGUUAGCUGGGCAGUUGCUGACACUGAGGCGCGACAGCGUGGGGAGCAAACAGG
rnacentral:rRNA from 1 species